CCGGGGGGUGCGGGAAGGCUGCGGGGGAGGCUGUUGGGGACGUUCGUGGCGGGGGGAGGCUGUUGGGUCCCCUCCCCGCCCCACCGCGUCCCAGGGAACCCAGGCAGGGCACCCAGUGAGGGGGGCCCGGGCGUCCGCCGAUUCCUCACUGCUGUCCCCGCCUGUGCCCGAAACCCCCGUUCACGUUCACCGAGAAAACAGACAUAAACCCAGCCAGGCACAUCCACUAGAAUGGCUGUGAUUUCAGAAAAGCAGAAGUAAGUGCUGCCGAGGAGAUGGAGGCGUUGGACCCCUCGCGCAUUGUCGGGGUGGGUGCAGCCGCGGUACAAAAGGACCUUCCUCAGAAAGUUGAGCACGAAAUUCCCAUGGGCCCGGAAAUUCCCCUCCCGGGCGCUCCCCAGAGAGCUGAAGACUGGGCGCAUGCCGGCGGCAAACGUUCACAGCAAAGGGCGGCCCAGUGCGCAGCUGGAACAUCACCCCCAGGCAGUCGCUGCGACAGGGACGAGCCUGGGAAACAUGAAAAUGUCCAGAACAGGGAAUCCACAGAUAAAGAAAAGACAUCGUGGUUGCCAGAGCUCGCGGGAGGGGGCAACAGGGACCGACUGCUUAAUGUGUAUGGUUCCCCUUUAGGGUGAGGAUGUGUUCUAGGACGAGGUGGAGGUCAGGGUUGCAGGACAAGAUGGCAGCGCUAAAUGCCACUGAAUUGUUUGCUUUAACGUCAUUAGUUUUGUUAUGUGAAUUUCAUCUCAAUAGAAUAAGUAGGUCAAGCUGGCAGUAGGGCCCACCCCACCGCGGCCUGGAGCAGGGUCUUCUGGGGUGUACCACCUCUGCCCUCACCCAGGCUCCACCACGACCAGCUUCGUCCACCCUCCAGGAGACCAUGAAGGCCCACGUGUGAAAUCCUCACUAAGCCCACCCUCCCGUCUCCCUGAACUAUGGGUAGGACCCCUCUGGCCCCCAGCCCUGCCGUUGACCCGGCCCACCAAGCCCCCACCCAGAUCCACACCACCAGGCACUCUUGCCCUUGGCCUGCUGCCAGGCUGGCCCCGCUCCUUCUGGGCCUCCUGGAGCUUCAACCCCUGCCUCCACAGCAGACCUUGGCCUUUAGCAUGCUCAGUCUCCUCAGUGGCAGCCCCAGGAGCAGCCCGGGGCCAUCUUCUUGGGUCAAAGCCCUCCUCACUACCCACCCUCUUGCCAGGACUAGCUGUGUCCUGCAGCAGCCCAGCAUGUGCCGUUGAGCUGGCCUUUUCUCAGGCCCAGUGCCCAAGGAGGAGCUGAUUGCAUAGGCUCAGAGUUUCCAGGAAGAGUGGGGACUCAGGAAUAUCUGCCCAGGUGUCUCCACUGCAUCCGCCAGGGCCUCCAGCUUUCCUAAGCAGGACCCUGGCCUCUGGCCUUGGUUGAGUAUUUCACCUUCUUCCAUGUUUAGUCCUUUGGGCUCUGCUACCCUCCUGCUGGAGGUGAGAGCAUCCUGUGUGCAGCCAGAGAUGCCCUCUGGCUUUCAGACCUGCCUGCUUUUCACCCUCAGCCCUUUCUCACUCAGCAAAAUUGUGGGGGUCCCUAGUCAGCAGCUCCCUGGGCAGCUCUCUGAGCAAGGUGGUCUCUGUGGUCAUGAAGGAGAGCCGGCUAGGACAGUGCCGGAAACUCAGCUGCCUCUUUCCUUCAACUCAGCUGGCCCCCCCACCUGAAGUGCACAGGAGCCGGGAAGAGAGUCUGGAGCCAGCCCCGGAGGGCAGCACAGGAGGUGUCGCUGCAGCUGGUGUCCUGCCACCCCUGCAGGCAACACACAUCCCGGGCAUUCUCCUUAGCCACAGACGGAACAGCCAGCGCCAGAGUCUGCUGUCACUUCCCCUUUAAGCACACUCAUUCACCACACCCGAGGAGGCCAGAAGUGCAGGGAGCAUGGGCUGGGUGCGGAGAGAAGGCUGAGCCACCGCCGUCCCGGGAGCCCGGCUCCCAGGCCUCUCGUUUUCCCCUACCUCCCUAAGACUUUUCUGUCACUCUCCUGCCAUUGAAAGGCUUCUGUUCCUUAAAGUCCUGUUACAGUCUCCUUUCCCAGGAUGCAGCGAGCCAAAACAGUACCACUGCACGUCAGUCUGGGUGACAGAGUGAGACCCUAUCUUAAAAAAAAAAAAAAUUGGCUGGACAUGGUGGCUCACGCCUGUAAUCCCAGCACUUAGGGAAGCCAAAGUGGGUGGAUCAUUUGAGGUCAGGAGUUCAAGACCAGCCUAGCCAACAUGGUGAAACCCCAUCUCUCUACUAAAAAUACAAAAAUCAGCAUGGCGUGGUGGUGCACGCCCAUAAUCCCAGCUACUGGGGAGGCUGAGGUGAGAGAAUUGCUUGAACCCAAGAGGUGGAGGUUGCAGUGAGCCGAGAUCACACCAUUGCACUCUAGCCUGGGCAACAGAGGGAGACUGUGUCUCCUAAAAAAAAAAAAAAAAAAAAAAGGUCUUCUUUCCAUGAUGAGAAUGUCAGGCCCUGCAGCCUCUUGCACUGGCCAGAGGGGCUGGGGUCACAGUCUGUUUCCUUGCCCACCCUCAAGGGACAAGGAGGAGAGGUGAGGCUGUGGGCACACCUGAUUUUACCUGCUGGAGUCCGUGUUCUCUGGGAUUAGGGAGCAUCUGGAGCUGACUCUUCCACCAUGGGACCCUCCCUUUUUCAGGAAAACUUCCCCUCCGCGGGGAUCCCGCAGGGCUAAGAAACACCCUCUUCACCUCCCUCCUGCCCGGUCCUUCUGACCAGCCAAGAGAGUGCAGACCCUCCCCGAUCUGGGAGGAGGGCCCAUCACCGGCUCCCUGCCCCCUGCUGGCCAAGCCCCCCUGGGACUUCCUAGGCUGUUCCUUCCACCCGAAGGGUCUCCCUCUGGCCAAGGCGAGGCUCACAGUUCCCCUGUCAGGAUGGGGCCUUAGACACCCAGAGUGACCCAGUGACAAUCACCUUAAUUCUCCACAGAUAACUACCUACAAGUUUUCUUAUUUAUUCAUUAGUGGAUUUGUUCGUGAUCAGCCCCACACCUGUUAGAAUGGAAGCUGCAGGCAGCAGGAACCAGUGUGGCCAAGUCGGAGGGCAGCACAAGCCGGGCCUCCUCGUGGACAGCAGGUUCAUGGACAGCAGAGGAUAAAACAGAGAAUAAGGAACUUUACAUUGUCAAUGAUCCAACACCUAGUGCACCCAUGGCCGUGCGUCCACAGGACAAAGCAGCCUUUGGAGCCCUGGAACUUAAGAUGUCCAGAGAUCAGCAGCUCUCGGCUCAGGCCCAGGCAGCUGGACAGCACCCAGCGCCUCCUCCAGGUCCUCCUGGGUCCCCUCCUUUCUUUCACUUUCAGCCCGGGAAUCUCUGUGAAGUCCUAGCUGAUAACUAAGGGGUUAAUGAAUAAUCACAGUGAUGAGCUCUGGAGGAGCCAUGGCCCAGAGCAGCUGUGGCCUCCUUUGAUUAAACCACAGAAGUCCAGAGGAUCAGGCCUCAAACCUCCUCCACCACCUGCCAGCUGGCACCUGUGAAGGAGGUGGGACCAGCACCCACCUCACAGUGGCUGCAGGGUCACCUGAGAUGGUGAUUGCAAAGUGCUGAGCCAUCGGGACACAUAUUUCCAAGACCUCCUGAGUGCCGGCUGGCCCCUGGAGCAGAGAUGAGACCCCUGUGGGGCCUACAGUCCAGUUAUGAAGGCAGGGUUCCUGUGUAAGCCAGCAGGCCCAGUUCUGGAAAGGCCAGGAUGUGGGUUCAGAAGCUCAAGGACAAUGGACUCAUUCUGACUGGAGGGAUCCAGGAAGGCUUCGUGGAGGAAGUGGCAUUUGACAUUGGCAUCAAGGAUGAACAGGAUUAGACAGAGGGGACUGGUGUCUGCGUGAAGGAUCGCCAAAGCGCUGUUCUGGGGUGAGGGCGAUCAGCCCCUCCUGCCCCUCCUGAACUAUGAGGCUCGGGAGCCUUUGGCAGAAGGUGGCUCUGCACGCCCCAGGUGCAAGGUUGGAGCUUCCUUUUCUGCACUCCACAGCAGGAAGAAGGGCAGUGUGAACUGCUCACCACUGUCUUCCUGGGUUUGCAGCUCUGCACCUGGCACAGAGACAGGCUCAGUGACGGUUGAAGGAAUCGGAGAAAUAAUGAAAAGUGUGUUCAGCCUGCAGGCGGCAGAGCCUCGGGUUAACCGUUAACGUCAGGAAAUGACAGAUCCAAUGCUCCUGCUUGGGGCAGCGUGGAGGCCAGCGGAGGAACUGCAGGAGCCUAAAGGAGAUGGCGCGCAGGCUUGGCUCGGGAGAGCAGCCGUCUGAAAGACGGCGGCGAAGGGUGCAGGAGGAGAUGCCCUGGGCAGGGGCUUGGCGGCGCCUGGCACCAAACUUCCUAAAGCAGCUGCCUCUGUGAACUGCGCCUGGCAGGGAGGGAGCCACACCAGGAGUGACCCUAGACGCUGGCUCCCCAGGGGUGACUGCAGGCAGUGUCUCCCGCCCAUGUGGGCCUCCGGCUUGGGGUCCCCAGAGCUCUGCCCUGCUGCUGGCUGCACUGAGAGAGGUGGCCUUCUGAAUGGGCCCUGUCCCCGGGGAGCCUCUGGUAAAAAGAUUCACCUGCACCCUCAAAACACGCCAUGCCCAUUGGAGGCUCUGGGUGCAGGCUGCCCCUCAAACAGAGAAAACCACACGCUGUUUAAGACCCAAAACCAAGGAGACAGCCCCUCAUGCCCCCUUCUAUCUCCCCUUCUGUCCAGGGCCCCCUGCCUGCUCUGGUCCACCCCGUCCUGACCCCCUCUGUCUGUUCAUCUGAGGGCCGUGAGCCAAGGCCUGGGCCUGGCUGAGGGUCAGGGAUCCUGGGACCUGCUUGAGACUAUUCCCCAUACACUCCUUCAGCCAGAAGGUCAGCCGUGGAGACAAACCCCCACCCUGAGCCUGCAGUGUCAGCAACGCCCUGUCCUCACAGUGCCGGGCAGUGUCAGGCUGAGACCCAGGGCCACCUGCUCCAACGUCCGCUCCAAGCAAGCCAGAGCCAGGUGCUGCCAGCCUGCCCAUGUGCACACGUUAGCAGACAGGUUUCCUGGUGUGGCACACACGUGUUAUGACCGCGGCUGCUGCCCCCAGCCCAGAGUGCACUUCCGGGUAAUCCAGCACCCUGAGGCUUCACUGCUCUCCUGAGGGUUUUCUAAGAUUAAAUCUCCCUCACAAUGACAGCCUCCUGUCACCUGGGCCCUGGUGACGAAGCCUUCGGAGAGGCAAGGACCCAGCCGGGGCAUUCACAGUGGGCAUGCUGUCCACCCUCCGCCCCUGUCCUGGCCCCCACAGUGGAGCCGCCACCUUGGGUAACGGGCUGCCUGAGGUCCUGGAGAAGGAACAACCAGGUGGCCCACCUUCGGUGCACAGGGAGCAGCAGGCACCUGACGGCAGCCCCCGCACCCCUCCCUGGGCUGAAGUUCAGGCUGUCUCAUCCCUUGCCAGGAGCUCAGGGCUGAGCUAGGUUAGCAGGGGAUGGGUUGAGGGUCUGUUGUCCAGCAGGUUGCCCGGGCCCCACCCAGGCCACUCAGAAAACACCUGUGAGAGCUCCGCAGGCAUGCAGGGCACUGUCGUGAGCACACCAGUGGGGACAGACGUCCAGGCAGGAGGGAGCAGCCAGAGCCCCAUCCCGCCAGGGUCACCAGGUGAGCAAGGCUGGGGAACAAUGGAGGCGGAGCCCCGCGACUGCCCAGCUCACUGCCCAGCUCACUGCCCCCAGUGUCCAGGCUGUGGUGCAGGCGUGGGGACCCAGGUGUGUUCAGGGGUCUCCUUCAGGGAAGGAGACCAAGCUGGGAGUCUGGGGAGGCCGAGAUGUGAGAUGACAGCAGGUGAAGAGUGAGCCACAAUCAGCAUUUUCACAUGAAAGGAAACUACAGGCCUGGGCGCAGUGGCUCACGCCUGUAAUCCCGGCACUGUGAGAGGCUGAGGUGGGAGGAUCACCUGAGGUCGGGAGUUCGAGACCAGCCUGACCAACAUGGAGAAACCCCAUUUCUACUAAAAAAAAUACAAAAUUAGCUGGGCGUGGUGGCGCAUGCCUGUAAUCCUAGCUAUUCGGGAGGCUGAGGCAGGAGAAUCACUUGAACCCGGGAGGCGGAGGUUAUGGAGAGCCAAGAUCGCACCACUGCACCCCAGCCUGGGCAACAAGAGUGAAACUCCAUCUCAAAAAAAAAAAAAAAGAAAAAGAAAAAAAGAAAGGCAACUACAGAAGGCGAGGAGAACCACCCGAGAUCACCAGAGGGAACCGUGGAAGGUCUGUGGUCCACCAGCCAGGCUGGGGCACCUCAGCCCCUGGGCAGAGCACCAAGCAGGGCCGUGCCCUGGUAAAGGAGGGCACAGUCAGCCCCAGACUACAAGCUGCCUUGGUCCUCCCAGCAGGGCUUAAAAGCAAGACCCCAAAGGACCAAACAGCUUCCAAGUAACUUCCUGGAGUCCUGAGCAAAGUAAACUUUUCUCAGCUUUGCUACAAAAAUAGUCAGCACCCAGCAAAAUUCACAAUCCCUGUCACCCAUUCAAAAAUCACCAGGCAUGCGAGGAAGCAGGAAAAGGAAAAUGCACCCAGAAGAGAAGGAGCACCCAUCAACGGGGCCGCCUCAGAAGCAACAGACGACCGGGCAAGUCCAAGGGCACCGAGGCACCUGCCACCGCUGCGCCCAGCACUCCCGAAGCCAGAGGCAGAUUGAGGUUCAGAGAAGUCAGAAGACUUCCCAAGGCUGCACAACGUCCUGGGGUGAGGCCUCACACCAUCUGCACCACCUGCCCUCCAGGUCCCACCAUCCUCACAAAUUCAAGGCAAGGUUCUGGAACCCCCAGCCCUCCAGAAAGGGGAAGCUGAGCCCAGGAGGCACAUCUGAGAGUUCGGGUCCGUGAGUUUACCCUGCGCUCAUGCCGAUUCCUCCUGCAUCCUGUCGGGAUGUCUGGAUUCCAGAGUCCCCAUCCUGAUUUUCCAACCUUGCCUCAGCCUUGGCUUCUCCCUUUUGGGGUGGGACAGGGAACCCCAGCAGCAGGUGUAUGAGGGCAUGAGAGGGCGGGAGGUGCCCUAUGCCUACCCGCCAGACCAGGGCCCCAGCUCUGGACACAGGGAGAGAGCGUGAGCGCUGUUCCUGCUCCUACUCCUUCACCUGAGCAGGUGCUCCCAGGUACAGGUGCCGAGUCCCCCCCAGAGGGGCCCUGCCACAACCAGAGGACUGACAAACCCAGACACAACUGUCUCUUCCCCCUGGUCAGGGUCUGGGCAAGGGUGCCUCUGGGCUGCUGUCCAUGCUGUGAGUGUCCGUGCCGUGGCCCGGUGUGUGAGUGUCCCCGCCCUGGCCCGCUGUCGCGAGUGUCCCCACCGUCGCCUGCUGUCGCGAGUGUCCCCACCGUCGCCUGCUGUCGCGGGUGUCCGUGCCGUGGGCCGCUGCCGCGGGCAUCCGUGCUGUGGGCCGCUGCCGUGGGCGUCCGUGCUGUGGGCUGCUGUCGUGGGUGUCCGUGCUGUGGCCCGGUAUGUGAGGUUGCGUUUCCAACAGGGAGUAAUUUGGCUUUGGUUACCUGAGGGUCUGAGGACAGGCACUAAAGCCCCACCUUUCUGGCUUCCAGAGUUGCCGGCUCCAGCAGCAGCCUCCAGGCCUGAGCAGGCUCUGGGGCUCCCACACCUGGGGGGCCAGGGUGGGGGUGACAAAGGGCCCCAGGCGACGGCUGAGAGCCGGCCCUGAGCCGGCCAGGGCGGGCAGCAGAACAGCCACCAGCUCCCGCCAGGCCCUGGCAGCAUGAGCGAUGGCAGGCCCAGCGAUAAGAAACUAAUAAUUUAUGCUUCCAGCUCCCGGGGCCGGCGCCAAGGGAAGGCUGGGCCACAGCCUCCCCCGCACUGAGCGGCCGCAGUCCUUUAUUGCACAAAUUAUUAACGACCAGAGGAUGAAUGACUCUGUAAUCAGAUCAGGCUGCCAGCACUUUUCAUUGCAUUUAUUUGUAUAAAUUCUGAAGUCGGGGUCUGCCCUAAGCUCAGCAAGCCAGCCUCGUGCUGGCUGGGCGCCCAGGCCCCCACCCAGACGGAACACCCGUCCCUCACCCUGCCCACGGGUUCCAGAGGACAGAGGGCUCAGGAAGGGGUGCAGGGAACUGCUCUGAGCCAGAAGCCGAGUUCAUGGGCACCCAAAGCAGCCCUGGGCCAGGGUCAGAGCUCUGUCCUUGAACAUGCCUCAGGGAAGAUUCCCAACUGUCCUCAGAGCCAGGGGCACCCAGGUCUUGGGAGCUGAAGGGGGGUGGGUCUGAGACCAGGAGAAGGCUCCCCAGCCCUGAGGGAACCCUCAUCACCCCCCUGCUCUCCUCGAUCCAGGAAUGGUCCCAGGGUUGCCCCAGGCCUCCUGGCUCUCCCGCCUCCAUCCCAUGGGCUUCCCGGGAGCCCCAGGCUGGUCUCCCACCUGCCCCCUCCUUUUCUGGUCUUGCCUGGGCUGGGCCCAGGGGCUCUGGCUGUGGGUUUUCUGUGCAGCACCUCGCAGUGAGCCUGACGCUGGUCCUCUCCUGAGCCCCCGUUUAAUCUUAUUGAUCUCUCGUUACGCUACAGCGCGUAAAUUCAGAUUUAGAGAUCUUAUGUUCCAUCAUAAAUUGGGCUGGCAGACUUCCGAUCAACAAGAUAAAGCUGUCUUCCGUGAGGCGGGUGUUUUAUUAGUCUUGGUCCCAGUGCUGCAGGUGUGGGCUGGGGAGUGCCUGAGGGAGGGGCCUCUGCUUGGGACCCUUCCUGCCUGGGCGAGGGGCUGAGUCCCUCCUGCCGCCCAGGCUGGGCCCCAGGUACCUGGCGAACAAAGGGACCCUGAAAUUGCCGCCUUUCCCCUGCCUCUUGGGCUCUGCAUACGAUUUCAGCCAAUCCCUGCUUCCCAGCCUCGCCCACCCGCUUCUGGGGCCACCCCCGGGUUAAGCAGGGCUGUGCAGCAUGGGGGUCCUGUUCUCAUUCAGCCACCUGCACGGCCACCCCAGUGUGAUUCCUCAUCAGCCACACAGAAGACAGAUGGUCCAUAGGAGACUCAGAAACAGAGAAGCCUCACGCCAGGUCCACAGAGGCACCCACGCCCGCCAAAAGGAUGCCACACACUCACCCUGCCCUCUGGGGAGCACAGUGGGAGUCCAGGACACCGCCUUGGAUGGGACCCGCCAAGCUCACCAGCCAGUCAAUGUGCAGCCAGCGCAAGCCCGACCUGCUAGGGGCCUCAGAACAAGCGGCGUGGCCCGAGGCCGUCACACAGCAUCUGUGCUGAGAGUGAGCUGACGUGGACGGUGGCACCGUGGCCGUGGCAGAGGCACCAUCCCUCCACCCUCACUCAUGUAGGGAUCCGCUCUUCUCUCGCACCGGGCCCUGCUGGCACAUUCCAGAUGUGGGGCACACGGACUGGAGCCCAAGGCCUGCGUGCUGGGCCCUGGCUCUGCACUCGGCUCCCAGAGUCUCCCACCCAAUGUCAGAGAGGGUGCCGCAACAGUGCUUCGGGGGCUCCUGUCAUGAGGGCUGAGGACCACCUAGGCCCACGUCCGCCCAGCAGGUGGCAGCUGCAUCCCCUGGUCCAGGUCCAGGCUGCAGGCCGCAGUGUUGGCAGGGGGAGGAGAGGGUGAAAUUGGCUGAGCCCAUCCAUUGGGACAGACCCUCCCGCUCCUUGGGGCUCUGGAGAACUCUAUUCCUUCUCUUUGCUUAACCUCAAGGUGCUGGGGCCUCUGGCUGCUGCACCAUUUACAGAGGAAUUGUCUGGGAUGCGCCAGGCCUAGCACUCUCGCUCUCACCGGUGUGCGUGUCAGCACGCUAGUGACAUGGCAGGUGAGGACCACGGCACCGCCCCUGCGAUCUGGCAGUCAGAGCCCACCUGUGUGUCUGCAGGAGCAUCCCUGACUACACACCACGGGACGGCAGGGAAGGGUCCCUCGGGCCCCACCCCUUUGUUCUUUCAAUGGUAAAGGUUCAGUUCGGUGGACAGACUGGACUUGGAAACACCUUCUUGCGUCCUCGAAACAACGUGGCACGCAGCCAGCUCACAGCACCCAAAGGCACGGGCAAGUUGCAUCAUGGCAGCCCCUCCUGUCUGACCAGGAGCAGGUGCGUUCCUGAGGUCCUGGCCACUUCUGCAGGAGCGUCUGAGGGAGCCCAGCUGCUAUACCACGACCCCUGACCUCCCGGGUUAGCCUUUCCAUCCAACAGCACCAGGACUGGACAGGCCACCUUGGCUGAGGAUCACGUGUGCCUGGGUCUGUGCGGUGCUGAUGCCCACAGGCCCUGGGUCUGUGUUGUGCACAGGCCUUGGAAAGCAGUGCACAUCCUGUCUGCACCGGUGUCUGUAGUGAAGCCAUCUUUGUCCCUGUGGCCGUGGGAGGGUCUGUCUGUGCUGUGUGUGUGUCCUGCGCGCGUCGGGAGCUGCUGCGCCACACACAGGCACGCAGGGUGUGGGCACACCUGUGCUUCUGAGCCCGCGUGCCCUUGCCGGUGGCCAGGCACACACACAGCUGUGCAUCCUUGGCCCAAGAUCAGCUGUGCCACACCUGCAGGCUGCAGGAUCUUUUCUGUGUGUCUCCUUCCAUCACCAGAAGUAAGCUCAGGACUGAGGCUGACAGGCUGGCCUGAGCGCUGCUCACCUGCACCUCCUGGCUGCACCUGUGGCCCCGGACUCAGCUUCCCCAUCUCUCUCCUCCCCACCCCACCUCUGGGUCAUCUCCGGCUGGGGCUGUACCACAUCUGGGCUCAAUAAAUGGUUGAU